rnacentral:lncRNA from 1 species
AUGCUUGCCAAACUCAUUUUUCUUUUUUGCUUUUUUGUUCUUCCAUCUGCCAAUGGGAUGUCUAUGGAAACUAUUGUUAGGUAUAUGCAAAUACCGCCAGCGCUCCUUUGCUUUUCCUCAAGGACCCUGAUACUGGUUGUGAAGCUAAUCAGACCCAAAGGAUGGAAGCCCAAAGGACUUGAAGGGACAGAUGAGCAGAAGAGCUGUGGGAGCGAAGGGGCCACUUAUCCCAGUGGCCUGUGUGUGUCCCGGAGCAGGAGCCGGGCAUGGGAGCUGUUGUUGCACCUCAAAUUUCUCCCUGAUGGGCUGCACAUGUAGUAUGUCGGGGUUUGCUCAGCCUCUAAGUGUACUCGUUUGUAGAUCCAUUUAAUAUUGCUGCACUCAAGGACAUUAUGUGACACAAGUAAUUCAUUAACAGAACUACUUAAGCUCAUCAUUGAAACGUAUUACAAAAAUUACUGAGUAUUAACUGUGAAGAUUAAAAACUCUACUCCUAGCUGCACCUCCUUCUGUCUUUGUCCUUUCUCACUUCCUUCCCAGCUUGCUAUAACGCUCACUCUAUUACAUAGUCUGAAGGGCACGUGAAACUUGGCCUCUUUCUGAGAAAUUCCCAUAUGGGAUUGUUUCAUUUGCUGCUUUUAUCACUUUCCGUAGGUUAUUAAGGAAAUUCUAAAACCAUAAAAACUCUCACCAAGGCUGUUUAUUGAUGAAAGGUAAUGCAAAUGACUAUGAGAGCUGUCUGAACUGAUGUUGGGCCUGCCAUUGCACACACUCUCCGUACACUGGGGUGGUUCCCACGUGGCGUGUCGGGACUGUUACAGCACACAGCUUUGUGCUUUCUGUCACAGUGACAAUGCAGUGCAGCUGCAGAGGCUCAGAGCUGGGCCUCUCUUACGCUGCCAAUUGUGUCAGACGAUGUGUGGUGGUUUCAUGCUGUGGAUUCCCCUAACUGCCAGGGGCCAUGGUGAGACCACCAAGCUUGUUACACUUAUAGCUAUUUCAAAAUUAAAAACCUAAUAUCUAGUCCGCUCAGUUCUGAUUAAAUUUUUUCUCCUUUGGUCAUGCCUUAUCACUUGGGCUGCUCUGCAGAGUCAGUUCAAGGAAAACUUUGAGCUUUUCUUCCUGGCAUACACAGAUUUUACUGGGGAGUUUUCUUCAACACAGCUUUUCACAUUGGGUUGGAUUGCUGUUGCUUUAAUGGUUUUACAGCCUGUAUCAAUUUUGUCUUUUGGAUAUGAGUCUGAAAAGUAUUGGACAGCCUCAACACCUACUCCCAUGAGUGACCAGAAUUAGAACUACUCGACAUGCCAAGCAUUAGUACUAUAGGUACUCAGUCAAAGAAAAUAUUUGGAGAAGAAAAUGAAGAAUGAAUCAAAAGAAAGAGCAAGGAAAGCUGGUGCCAGAUAAAUGAAGACAGAAUUAUGACUGCUAGACAGAAGUGUUUCCAGUUUCUAAAUUUUAUCUAGACUGUGGUGAUAAAAACAGACUAUCACUAUAUAUGCCAAACUAGCUAUCCUUUAAAGGAGGAGUUUAUACUGGACGGAUCCUGAAGGUGUCUGAGGCUUAUGCUUAGAAACAGUGGUUCAACAGACAUCAUGUGCUCAAGAAACAAAAGAUCCUACCAACAGGUAUUUGUUUGGUAAUUUGGUCCUCCCUUGUAAACAAGAGACAGCUCAACCUUCUGGGACUCUUGUUAGCCAACAGUUUCAAAACUGCAAUGAAAGAAGGAUUUCAAAACUAUUUCACAAUCAUGUUUGGAUGAAACAUGUGUUUACUGUAUGUAAAUGAACGAGACAUUCUGUUCUUUUAGUAUUCAUCAGAUCCUCACUGCUUUAGAUGGUUUGGCAUACACAGGAAAUUGGUCUUCUUCAGAAGAUGCUGGACAGACAAAUAGCUGAUUUUCACUGGAUGUUUCCAGACUAUACAAAAAAGAUGUACUCAAGUGCAAUUUUUUUUGGCUUAACUCGACUCUCACUUAUUUUGUUAGCUACAAAUAAUGACAGAAUAAGUUCCUUAAUGACAGAGAUAUGGAGUCAGAGUUUCCUAUGACAAUAAAUCUCUGUUGUACUGCUCACACUAUCAAGCUGUGUGUACUCAAAAUGUGAUGAGUCCAAACAGCUUGAGGCUGUUGAUUUCUCUGUAUGAGAAUUUCCUCUAAUAGAUUAGGUGCCCACAUGCAGUUGGUACAUGACAUGGCAUGUGUGCCUACAAGCCUCUUCCCAAUUAACUAAGUGAAAACCCAGAAUCUGCUGCAGAUCUGAUAAGUUCCUCCUUUACUGAGCUGCCUGUUUAGUUAUACACAGGACUAUAAAUCUACAUGGGCCAAAAUCUCCUGCUUUUUUACGCAUUUUGCUGCAAAUGAUAAAUUCCUUUAGAUCAGAUGCUGGGGCAUUCUGGCUUAAGGUUAAAAUAAAAGGCAUUUUGUUGUUCUUCAGUCUCCUCUAUGU